rnacentral:rRNA from 1 species
GCAAGUCGCGGGGUAACGAUACAGCUUGCUUCUGCUGACGACCGGCGCACGGGUGCGUAACGCGUAUACAAUCUACCUUAUACUGGAGGAUAGCCCUAAGAAAUUGGGAUUAAUACUCCAUAGUAUUAUAUUUUCGCAUGAUUAUAUAAUUAAAGCUCCGGCGGUAUAAGAUGAGUAUGCGUCCUAUUAGUUAGUUGGUGAGGUCAUAGCUCACCAAGACAUCGAUAGGUAGGGGGUCUGAGAGGACUAUC